rnacentral:rRNA from 1 species
GAUGAACGCUGGCGGCGUACCUAAUACAUGCAAGUCGAGCGAACAGACGAGGAGCUUGCUCCUCUGACGUUAGCGGCGGACGGGUGAGUAACACGUGGAUAACCUACCUAUAAGACUGGGAUAACUUCGGGAAACCGGAGCUAAUACCGGAUAAUAUAUUGAACCGCUUGGUUCAAUAGUGAAAGACGGUUUUGCUGUCACUUAUAGAUGGAUCCGCGCCGCAUUAGCUAGUUGGUAAGGUAACGGCUUACCAAGGCGACGAUGCGUAGCCGACCUGAGAGGGUGAUCGGCCACACUGGAACUGAGACACGGUCCAGACUCCUACGGGAGGCAGCAGUAGGGAAUCUUCCGCAAUGGGCGAAAGCCUGACGGAGCAACGCCGCGUGAGUGAUGAAGGUCUUCGGAUCGUAAAACUCUGUUAUUAGGGAAGAACAAAUGUGUAAGUAACUAUGCACGUCUUGACGGUACCUAAUCAGAAAGCCACGGCUAACUACGUG